rnacentral:rRNA from 1 species
CCUACGGGUGGCAGCAGUAGGGAAUAUUGCUCAAUGGGGGAAACCCUGAAGCAGCAACGCCGCGUGGAGGAUGAAGGCUUUCGGAUUGUAAACCCCUUUUGGUAGAGAGGAUAAUGACGGUAUCUAACGAAUAAGCACCGGCCAAACCCGUGCCAGCAGCCGUGGGAACACGGAGGGUGCAAGCGUUACUCGGAAUCACUGGGCGGAAAGGGGGUGUAGGGGGGAUAGCAAGUCAGGUGUGAAAUCCUAUGGCUUAACCAUAGAACUGCAUUUGAAACUGUUAUGCUAGAGUAUGGGAGAGGUAGGUGGAAUUCUUGGAGUAGGGGUAAAAUGCGUAGAGAUCAAGAAGAAUACUCAUUGCGAAGGCGACCUGCUAGAACAUAACUGACGCUGAUGCGCGAAAGCAUGGGGAGCAAACAGGAUUAGAUACCCUGGUAGUC